rnacentral:rRNA from 1 species
UACAGAGGGUGCGAGCGUUAAUCGGAAUUACUGGGCGUAAAGCGGGUGCAGGUGGUGCACUAAGUCAUAUGUGAAAGCCCUGGGCUUAACCUAGGAACAGCAUAUGAUACUGGUGAACUAGAGUAUAUGAGAGGGAAGUAGAAUUCCAGGUGUAGCGGUGAAAUGCGUAGAGAUCUGGAGGAAUACCGAUGGCGAAGGCAGCUUUCUGGCAAAAUACUGACACUCAGACCCGAAAGCGUGGGUAGCAAACAGG